GAAUGGGCCCUGGGUCUCAGUUGGCACUUCUGGAAUUGAAGAAGUCAGUGAAAGAACUUUGAACCAGAAAUGCAUGAAAAGAUUAACCACAGAAUGUAAACCGUAAGAGCUAAUUGGACAAGAGGCAUUGUAUGUAGUCAACAAAAAUUAACUUGGUUUAGACAGCAAACGUGUAACCAUCAAGAAUGUAACAAUUAUGAAGUUGACAGCAGACUUUUGUGAAAAUGUAAUUAAUGUGGUACCCAGAACUCCUGACAUGUGUACAAGAAAUUAUUCCAUUGCUUUCCCCAAUGAAAUGAAAUUCAAUUUAAUUGACAGCAUCUGAUGGGGUCAACGUUGUCAAAUAGUCUCCUAGAUGUUAAGACGUUUUGACAGCAGAGUCUCCUGUGGUUGAGUGUUCCCUGGGAAGUUUCAUCUGCAAGUGAUUGUAAAACAUUCAUCUUUACUGCUGCAAAUAUGAGAAUAAAACAAUUUGAUGAGC
rnacentral:lncRNA from 1 species